CCUACGAGCGGCAGCAGUGGGGAAUAUUGGACAAUGGGCGAAAGCCUGAUCCAGCCAUGCCGCGUGUGUGAAGAAGGCCUUCGGGUUGUAAAGCACUUUCAGUGGGGAAGAAAGCCUUGGGGCUAAUACCCUCGAGGAAGGACAUCACCCACAGAAGAAGCACCGGCUAACUCCGUGCCAGCAGCCGCGGUAAUACGGAGGGUGCGAGCGUUAAUCGGAAUUACUGGGCGUAAAGCGCGCGUAGGCGGUCUGAUAAGCCGGUUGUGAAAGCCCCGGGCUCAACCUGGGAACGGCAUCCGGAACUGUCAGGCUAGAGUGCAGGAGAGGAAGGUAGAAUUCCCGGUGUAGCGGUGAAAUGCGUAGAGAUCGGGAGGAAUACCAGUGGCGAAGGCGGCCUUCUGGACUGACACUGACGCUGAGGUGCGAAAGCGUGGGUAGCAAACAGGAUUAGAUACCCGGGUAGUC
rnacentral:rRNA from 1 species